AGCUCCAAUAGCGUAUAUUAAAGUUGUUGCGGUUAAAAAGCUCGUAGUUGGAUUUCUGUUGAAGAAAACCGGUCCGUACCAUGUAUGUGUAUCUGGCUUUUCUUCGGCAUCCUCUCGAGGUACGUUACUGCGCUUGAUUGCGUGGGGCGGAAUUCGGGACUUUUACUUUGAGGAAAUUAGAGUGUUCACGGCAGGCAAUCGCCCUGAAUAUAUUAGCAUGGAAUAAUGAUAUAGGAUCUUGAUUCUAUUUUGUUGGUUUCAGGAAUUAAGGUAAUGAUUAAUAGGGACAAUUGGGGGCAUUCGUAUCA
rnacentral:rRNA from 1 species